GGCAAGCUUUGUGAUUCUCCUACAUGCAUGCCGGAUCCAGAUUAUAAUCCACGAAAAAUUGUCAACCAUGAUGCAUGGAAGACCUAGAUGAAUAUAUAAACUCCAGAAAGCACCAUUCCCAAAUAAAAGGCAAAAGAUGGAUGCCAAUUGGAUAUUCAUCCUGUACAAAAGUUCUUCUGAUAUUUGAAGUUGUUUGAACCAGCACCUGAAGAUUGCUCAGUAACCCAAUCUGACACACACCAACAAUAAGGUCAAACUGUAUCCUCAGGUUUCCAUGUGCUGGCUAGUGCUGGACAUAUUUGGCUUGCCG
rnacentral:misc_RNA from 1 species